AUUGAACGCUGGCGGCAGGCUUAACACAUGCAAGUCGAGCGGGGGAAGGUAGCUUGCUACCGGACCUAGCGGCGGACGGGUGAGUAAUGCUUAGGAAUCUGCCUAUUAGUGGGGGACAACAUCUCGAAAGGGAUGCUAAUACCGCAUACGUCCUACGGGAGAAAGCAGGGGAUCUUCGGACCUUGCGCUAAUAGAUGAGCCUAAGUCGGAUUAGCUAGUGGGUGGGGUAAAGGCCUACCAAGGGGACGAUCUGUAGCGGGUCUGAGAGGAUGAUCCGCCACACUGGGACUGAGACACAGCCCAAACUCCUACGGGAGGCAGCAGUGGGGAAUAUUGGACAAUGGGGGGAACCCUGAUCCAGCCAUGCCGCGUGUGUGAAGAAGGCCUUAUGGUUGUAAAGCACUUUAAGCGAGGAGGAGGCUACUCUAGUUAAUACCUAGGGAUAGUGGACGUUACUCGCAGAAUAAGCACCGGCUAACUCUGUGCCAGCCGCCGCUGUAA
rnacentral:rRNA from 1 species